UCCCUGGACUUUAAGGGGACGUUGUGCAACACAUUCAAAAGCUCUGAGGGACUAGUAAGCAACCAGAUUAUAUUACAGAUAAUGGAUCCACUUCAGCUUUCACAUCGUUCCAAUUAUGUUCACUCCCAGACUUUAUUCUCACGCUGCGCCAAAGCCUCGUGAUUGGUUAGAUGUGUCGUGACGUAUAAGAACGAAGGACUUCACCCAAACUCUAAACCAAAGCUUCAUCUUAUGUAUCAUAUCAAAUUAAAUAUUUUCAUUCAGCACGACACAAGUGCAAAAUAGAGCUCGGCUCCAAACAAGCAGUGGACGAAUUAGUUGUUUCUUCCCUGUUAAUCUUGUAACUGACACCUGCCUCAAAGAGAAAACUUAACAAUGGAAAAUACUGGAGCCUAAACCUGAAGAAACAAACCAAGUAGGUAGCGCUGAGGAAGGAACGAAGGAAGUUAAAGAAGGGAAAGGCACAGAUGACAAGCCUAAAGAAGAGGCUUCAAACGAGGAAAAAAAGGAAGAGCUAAAAGAAGAAGAGCAACCUUCGGAAGAAAUACAGAAGAAAACAGAGAUUCAGGAGCAAUCAGGUAGUGAUGAAAAAUGUACAGAAGAGAAUACCGAACUAACCCAAGCAGCGACAGCCGAGGUUAAAGAGGAAGACAACAACGCCCAAGUGCCUUCUUCUCCUGACCAUGCAGCGAGUGAAGCCCCAACACCUCCAGUGACUGAUUCCCCAGAGAAAGCUACUGAUGGCACUACCAAACCAUUUGAAACUCAAAGUACUAAUGGAACCAGUGAGGAAGCAAGCGAGAAAAAACAAACUGAAGAUCAGCCUACUCAGCUAGACGGCCAAGAAGAAGCCAAUGUUGUGACCCAGAAGCAAAGCAACGAAGAGUGAUAUGUGGACCAUCAGCGGUAUAGUCUCUGUUUCUCGCUGUACAACAGCUCUAACCUACACCAAGUAAACAAUGUAAAUGUGAUUCGACAUUUUUAUCAACAAGCAAAUCUUUUCACGACCAUUAGAAACAUAUAGCAUUUUUUUUUCAAACAAAGACAGUUUUUGUCGCACACAAACUUACGUGUUUUGUUUUGUAGCAAUACAUUUGGUCUCCAAUUUAAACCUACUUAUUAUAGGUAAUUUUUCCUAAACAUUGCUUUAUAUAACAACAAUGCAUAAAUUUGUAAGUUUACAGCACUUCUCAUUCUACUCAGAGAAACUGUUUUUAAGAGUUGAUUCUUGUAACAUUUAAAGCGACAGUCACUUGACUAAUAAUAGGCUACAUUAUACAUUGUUGUAAAAUAAUUUUCAAGCAGGGGUGAAUUUUAGUCGGUACACACCAAUAACGACAAAUUAUUUUACAGACGGUAGUGAAUACUGGCAUAAAAUAUUUAAUACGGAAUUCUAAAUAUUAAAUCUAGUAUUUUAGUACUAUUUUUACAAUAGUUGCUUUGCUGUGAAAUUAUAAAACAAUUUUAAAAUCUUCGGAGGGGGUUGACGUGCGUUUUCGCAUACUCCCACCGUAGGCACACCGAGUAUUAGCAUUAAUUUUCCAGAAAUUCAUCCCUAUUUUCGUGCAUAUGUUUAAUUAAACAAAAUAAAAUAUAUAUUUUUCUUCGUUAAAAAACAAAGUGUUUGUUUCGAACCUAUUAUAUCAAAGUAAACUUUGUAUCUUUUGAUUUAAAUUUUUCUACAUUUCUUUACAAAAAUAGAAUUAAGCAUACUUUAGAAAUGCCACGUUCUAUAAAAGCUAAAGGAAAAAAAAAAACACGAAAAACCGUUUCAAAGAGUCACCAGUGUUAUAAUGCCAGAUCUCAAAUUAAAUAUAUAAAAGUAUUGUUAAACAAAUCGACGUGUAUGGAACCACGUUUACACUACAGAAUUGUUUGAUGUGAUUAUUUCUUAACUCUUGUGUGCAUAUUCAUACUAUUGUCUUGAUUGAAUCGACAAAAGAAGAUGACUGUGUUAAAUACUUAGUGUUGUUUAUGCAUACCCUGAACCAGCUUUGUGGUGCGUGAUUUUGUGUACAUUUUGUAAAUUCUUACUUGGCAGAUUAAAUUUAUAAUUAUUUUUGUUUGAUUAUUUUAGCAUUGUAAUUUCUACUGCAAAUGCUUUGAUCUAUUGUUAGUUAAGAAAAAUCCAGUAUUUUUCUGUGAUUAUGAAAGAUAUAGAUAACGCCUGUGGCAUCCUAUAACUUGAAAAUGCUUUACAGGAAUAAAUAAAUUGAAAAAUAGACAUUCUAGUUGAGUAAUUUACUUAAGCCUAACCUUACUUCUGAAAUGGAUUGAUCUAUAUCAAUAAAAUUAAUAGAGUUCUAAGUAUAUUUACUUAAGCUGAUGGUUUGUGUAUGUAUGUAAGCUAGAAGUUAUGUUUUUAUUAAUAAACUCCGUGGUGAAA